GACGAACGCUGGCGGCGUGCUUAACACAUGCAAGUCGAACGGAAAGGCCCUGCUUUUGUGGGGUGCUCGAGUGGCGAACGGGUGAGUAACACGUGAGUAACCUGCCCUUGACUUUGGGAUAACUUCAGGAAACUGGGGCUAAUACCGGAUAGGAGCUCCUGCUGCAUGGUGGGGGUUGGAGAGUUUCGGCGGUUGGGGAUGGACUCGCGGCUUAUCAGCUUGUUGGUGGGGUAGUGGCUUACCAAGGCUUUGACGGGUAGCCGGCCUGAGAGGGUGACCGGCCACAUGGGGACUGAGAUACGGCCCAGACUCCUACGGGAGGCAGCAGGGGGGAAUAUGGCACAAUGGGCGGAAGCCUGAGGCAGCAACGCCGCGUGCGGGAUGACGGCUUUCGGGUUGUAAACCGCUUUCGCCUGGGACGAAGCGUGAGUGACGGUAAUGGGUAAAGAAGCACCGGCUAACUACGUG
rnacentral:rRNA from 1 species